CUGAGUAUUCUUACUCUCAAACCCAUGUGAACUUUACCACUUGUUGCCUCGGUGGUUGGUUGCUGAUCGUUCUCUCCCCGAAAGGGGGGCGGGCGGUCUUCGGCUAUAGCCACCGGUGGACCUUCUAAACUCUUUUGUUAUACUGUUUCUCUGAGUAAAUACAAAAAUGAAUCA
rnacentral:misc_RNA from 1 species